GGGCCCGCACAAGCGGUGGAGCAUGUGGUUUAAUUCGAUGCAACGCGAAAAACCUUACCUAUACUUGACAUACUUGGAAUGCUUUGUAAUGAAGCAGUGCCUUCGGGAGCCAGGAUACAGGUGCUGCAUGGCUGUCGUCAGCUCGUGUCGUGAGAUGUUCCGUUAAGUCGGAUAACGAGCGCAACCCUUACCCUUAUUUGCCAGCGAUUCGGUCGGGAACUAUAAGGGGACUGCCGGUGAUAAACCGGAGGAAGGUGAGGACGACGUCAAGUCAUCAUGGCCCUUACGUAUAGGGCUACACACGUGCUACAAUGGGGAAUACAGACGGACGCUAAGCCGCGAGGUGGUGCUAAUCCUAGAAAAUUCUUCGUAGUCCGGAUUGGAGUCUGCAACUCGACUCCAUGAAGUCGGAAUCGCUAG
rnacentral:rRNA from 1 species